AUUUUUUAUAAUAAUAAAUUCCUCCCGACGUAUGGAAUAAAUUUAGAAGUGGCACAGAAUCGGAAAUGGCGACUGUUUAAUUAAAAAACACAGGACAAUGCUAAAUAGAAAUAUGAUGUAUAUUGUCUGACUCCUGCCCAGUGCUUGAAAGUAAAAAUGAAUAUUUGAAAAGGUAUUUGUAUAAGCUCAAGUAAACGGCGGCUGUAACCUUGACGGUCUUAAGGUAGCGAAAUCCCUAGUCAAUUAAUUGUUGACGUGCAUGAAUGGAGUAACGACUGUUUUACUGUCUCGGGCUUUUGUACUGUGAAUUCAUAAUUGUCGUGAAGAUACGACAUUCCUAUAGUGGGACGGGAAGACCCUAUGCAGCUUUACUAUAAUUUUAAAGUGUUUGAAAUUCUUUAAGUAUGUAGGAUAGGUAUAAGCUUAUUAUUUCUUAACGCAAGUUAAUUGAUUAGGCAAUCUUGAAAUAGUACCUCUUUAAAAAUUUUAAACUAAUUUUUACAAAGACAUUUUAUGA
rnacentral:rRNA from 1 species